AAAAGAAAUAAGAAAAGAAAAUAAAUCUUUGCAACCUUUACCUGCUACUGCGUUCCGUUUUUCUCUUGGAAUUUGGUAAUCGAAACAACCCUAACUCAAAUUUCUAAAGAGGAUAGAAGUGCUCAGUAAAUUUUGCUGGAUUGGUCCCAAUUGUCAGCCGUACUUCUUGUGUUAUUGUCUUCUGUCACCUAAAUUCAGGGGUUGGCCUAGUCUGGUUAGUGAAUUGGUACAUGGAUCAAAAACAUGGACAGGAGUCCCAGCAAAGGCCCUAGACCAAUAGAGUUGGUUGUAGAAAUCCGUCAGGUUGGGAAGUAGGUGAAUUGAAGCUAACAUUUUUAUAAAAGUUUUGAUACCCAAAAAGCAAAUCCGACCAUGGCUAGUAAACAAACCGAGCCGACUUUGUCAACAUCAUCUGUUGCUGCUUGUCGUAGUAAAGAUAAUCGGCUAUUAGCUGGUUAUUUGGCUCACGAGUUUCUAACUGAAGGAACUUUGUUCGGGCAGACGUGGGACCCUGCAAGAGCUGAAGCCAAUCCCAUAACUCCACGCAACAACCCAAAAGUUAGAAGACCAGCAGGGGGAGGAGUCGUGGCUGAAGUAAAAGGAGGAGGCGGGACAAUAAUGGCACAACCGCAACAGCAGCAUAGUAGUUACGCUGACGUUGCGAAUCUGUUGAAAUGUGAAGGGUUGCACAUAGACGGGAUUGUGAACCCAACCCAACUUGCAAGGUGGUUACAGAUGUGAAUCUCUGACUGUUUCAAAAGAUGAAAGAAGGUGGAAAACAAGAGUCAUGUUCUACUGAAAAAACAAAGGUAUGCCAAGAGUUGGGUUCAUUCAAUCUCUAUCUCUGUUUGCUGGAGUCGAAGCCUGUUCAAAGGAGUUGGUGAAGAAUUCAAAUUGCAGAAACAAGUGACGAAAGCCUGUUUGAGGAGUGGAGUUCAGUCAAUCUCUAUCUCUGCCUGUUAUUUUUUUUGUUUGUUGUAGGAGGUGUUUUUUCUCUCUCUCUAACGGUAUAUUGAGAUUGCGAAACUUUAUUGGUGGGCAGGAUGGUUUUUACUCUGUUUAACCAUUUUUCAUUUUAUUCUCCUUCUUCAAUAUCCUUCUUCCAAAUUAGAAAAUACUCUUUAAGUUUAA